ACCGUCGAUUUCAAAUCUCCAACAAUUUCAAGCUAAGAUUUCCUUUUCGUCAACAAAAAACACCUUCGGUUACUUCAAGAUAUAGUUAUCAAUUUGUAUCUUCUUCAUUUUCCGUUCUUUUCUUUUGUGGGUUUAUUUCCUAUAGAUUCAGGGUAACUAGAUUUCAAGAAGAGAAAAAAGAUUUUGCAUCUCAAGUUUCAACCAUUGCUUCCUUGUCGAGGACUCUCAGUCUCAGCCCUAUUCAGAUUGAAGAAUGGAGAGAAAUUCUUGCCAGCUGAAAUUUUAGAUGUAAAGGUUUGUGAGCAGAAAUUGAGAAAAGGAAGAAAAAAUGCUGAAUUAAAGGAUUUUUUAUACUGGGAGGCAACAACCUUGACCAAACCUGUAACUCGAGGUGAUGGGGAGAUAAGAUAGAUUUUGUCACCUAAGCAAGAAUUCAGUUUGAUCCAGAAUCGAGAAGAUUGCAAAAAGGUUGAGGAAAGCAACCAAGUUGCAAAAACAGGCCAAUUCGGGAGCUUUUCAACCAUCUGCUUGAUCUCCUUUGCGCACCGAAAAGACCUCAUCUUCAACACCAACUGAGCCUCCAAUUGACACAAAUCAAAGAGACAAUAUGUCACAUACCCAAUACUAAAUGCACCCUUGGAAUUACGAACAUGUAUGAUUCAUAUGUUACCAAAAUUCCAAGACUUGGAGAAUGAAGACCCUCAUCAUCAUCUAAAGGAGUUUUAUGUGGUUUGUUUAAGUAUGAGACCACAAUGUAUAACUGACGAACAAAUAAGGGAAUAAUGUACGAACUUGUGGCAUUUGCAAACAAGCCAACCAUCCCACAGAUAUGUGUCAUACUCUUCAGGAAGGAGAGCAAUAGGUAAAUGCCAUUGGAGGGUUCAAUGGACAACAAUUCAAUGGACAACAAAGGAAGAAUGACCCAUUUUCAAGCACUUACAAUCCAGGGUGGAGAGAUCAUCCAAACCUUAGCUAUGGGAACAGACAAAACUUCCAGCCAAGAGCAAACUAUCAAGCUGCAAAUUCAGGUAUGUCUCUAGAAGACCUUGUUCAAUCCCUUGCUAAUAGCACUCUUGCUUUUCAACAGGAAACAAAAUCGAGCAUACAGAAUUUGGAAAAUCAAAUGAGCCAACUUGCUACGUCAGUGAGCAAACUAGAAUUUCAAGAGAAACUACCCUCCCAAACCAUACCAAAUCCAAAACAGAACGUAAGCGCAAUUAUGCUGCGAAGUGGGAAGGAGUUAGAAUCUGCCAGCCCGAAGAGGCUUGCCCAAGGCAGUACAGCAGGCCAAAAAACAGAAGCAGACCAAAAAACAGAAGCAGAAAUAGAGAUUCUAGAAGAGAAUCAACCUCAAAAAUCUAAGGAAGAACAAUCCCCAAUGCAGGUAAUACGUCCACCUUUUCCUGAAAGAUUUGCUCAAUCAAAAAGAGAAAAGGAAGAGAAAGAGAUCUUGGAGAUUUUUCGCAAAGUCCAGAUAAACAUACCCCUUCUUGAAACCAUAAAGCAAAUACCCAGGUACGCGAAAUUUUUAAAAGACCUUUGCACUAAUAAAAAAAAUUUGUAUGAGCACAAAAAGAUUAAAGUAGAGGAGAAUGUGUCAUCUGUACUCCAAAAAAAAUUGCACAAAAAUGUAAAGACAAAGACAUGUUUGCGAUAUCAUGUAAAGUUGGAAAUCUUGAAAUCAAGAAAGCAAUGUGUGAUUUAGGAGCUUCCAUAAAUGUUAUGCCUCUGUCAGUUUAUUUGUCUUUGGAUGCAGAUCCUUUGAAACAAACAGGAGUCACACUCCAACUCGCUGAUAGAUCAAUAGUUUAUCCUAAAGGCGUGUUGGAAGAUGUUUUGGUCCAAGUGGGAAAAUUAAUUUUUCCGGCUGACUUCUUUGUCUUGGAUAUGGAAGAUGACAGUUCAUCCAACUCUACAGAUUUAUUAUUAGGAAGACUAUUUCUCAGCACAGCUAGAACGAAGAUCGACGUGCACGAAGACACACUUUCAAUGGAGUUGAUGGACAAGAGGUAAAGUUUAAUGUUUAUGAUGCAAUGAAGCAUUUUGAUGAUAAUUUUUCUCUUUGCAGCAUAGAUGUAGUUGUUCCUCUCACUCAAGAAGCCUUUGAACUAAGCAAGAAAAACAAGUUGGAGGUAGUUUUAAUCGAAAACUUGACAAUGGACUGCCUUGACAAUAGCACAUCGCAAUUCAGUGAAGAAAUCAUAGAAAUAAUCCACUCAUUGGACACUUUGAACCAUAAGACACUAGAACUUGAGUUAAAAAUACUUUCAGCUCAUUUGAAAUAUGCAUUUUUGGGAAGUAAUAACACACUUCCAAUCAUAAUCUCCUCCAAGUUGAAUCAUUUAAAAGCAAUGAAGUUAAUUUGGGUGUUGAAUGAAUAUGAAGAGGGAAGUGAAUGAAACAUAACAUGCCACUGUCCAGCCUAGGACAAUAAACAAGGGCGCUACUUGGGAGGCAACCCAAGGUUACAUGCUUGCGCAAGCCUGUAGAGUCACAAGUAAGUUUUCCUUUUAAUUUUUAGUUUUAAAUUAAUUUAUUUAUUAUUUUUGGAGCAGAUUGGAUUUUCUAGGCAAUUCGGGACUUUAGGGAACCUUUUUGGAGAUGGCCUGCGCCGCCUCUUCCCAUGCCGUUUCCUCCGCCGUCGGCGCUUCGACCCGUAGCCGCAGCUCGUCGCACCGCCAGUAGACCACGAUCCCAUAG